CGCGGCCGCGCGAUUUGCAUCUCAAUGAGUCCCGCUUGUUGACUCGGCGCCCGGCGCUUCCGCCGCUCCCACCAGAAUCUGCCUUUGUUGGUUUUAGCUGCGGUCAAGUCCGCUCCGCGCGCCGGGAGCGGCCGCAUUGAGCGAGUGUGGUGAGGCGGAACGGCCGGCAGGAAGGAAGGAGGAAGGGGCUCGCGCGGCCAUUGUCUGGCCGGCCGGGCUUAAGCCGCCGAGGGACUAUUUAAUCUGAAAGGUUGCCCACUGUACACUCCGAAGAGAACCGUGACGAACUUGCCCUCUUGGGUCUUGAGUUGCCCAGAUGCGUGUUGCUGUCGCUGCAGCGGAAGACCUUCAUCCUACUGCUCACUCCUCGGCUCGACAAAAGCAAUUUUUCACUCCCGGGCUUUGCAGGGGCCAGGUGAUGGGGAUUGAGAAGUCUUGGAAAUCCUUGUGUAGUAUAAUCCCCUCUUCUCUACACUAGAAAUACAGGUAUCUGAAAGUUUGCUACACUUGGUUUUGAUUUUAUUGAGUACUAAUAUUGGCCUCACUCAUUGGUAAAAAUAUUGGGAAGUGUAGGUGUAGGAAAACCUAAGUUCUAGUUUUGGACCUGCUACUAGCCAGCCUUGGGGCAGUUCAUACUGAUUCUCACCCAUAGGGCCUUGGUUUCCUCAUCUUUAAGGAACAUUAAAUAAAAAUUGGGGCCAGGCCGGUGGUUUUCAAAUCAGAGCAGCUGUGCUUUUGUCUUUUCCAUAUUGGAGUUAUCUGAGUUUUGUAUAAGAUGUUUAAGAAAUGGAAGAGAGAGAGAGAGAAAAAAAAAAAAGAAACGGAAGAGAGAUUCACUGCUAACAA
rnacentral:lncRNA from 1 species